rnacentral:lncRNA from 1 species
AUUUGUAGCCAUUAAUUAUUAGAUUAAGUUGUUAGUAUUAACCAGAUUAAGAUAACACAUUUACACACGCACACACACAUAGAUCUCCAGUUAUAAGGAGGCCGGCCACUUCUAAUCACCCACAGUGUAUGCAUUGUUCCCGUUGCUUUUGGACAGAUGAUCACAAGCGAGUGUAAAAGACUACGCAGAGAUUCUUACAAAAGCACGGGAACCUAGAACAGUGUUUUAUAUUUAAAAAAUUAAUAAAAAAGAAACAGUUGUUAUAUUAAAAAUCUUUUUAUUUACUACGGUCACCUUAUCAAAUUCAACAGAUCAAUUUGCCGCCUGAAGAAGAAAGGUAAUCAAAUUUAUAAUUAACUUACACGUGUGAAUCUAUUUUACAUAACUAGGCACACCCGACUUAUUUUAGAAUUACACCACUGGUAUACAUUUAAUUUCCUAUUUACCUUCCCAGUUUCUUAUCGAUAAUAGUAGCUCACCUAUCAAGCGAAAUGUGUUUGUUAAUUUUUUUUUUUUUACUUAUCAAAAAAUAAAAUGUAUACGUUAUUUUACAUGUAUAAAACUUUAAACUAAUAAACAUACAUAAUAAUGAACAUUUAAUGCACAAAAGUAAAAUUAAAUAUGUAUAGUAAUUAUUUGUAUUAUUUUUUAUGAAUUAAUGAACAACAUUAUAAUUAAUGACUUUUAUUUUCACUUGCACAAUAUGUCUUCAAGAACCACCUACAACCUUUCUGUAUACCACAGGUUGAAAACCGUUGCCCAAUAUGAUGAUAAAUUUAUAAUAAAAAUAAUUCGUUUUAAUUUCUAUAGGGAGUUGUAAAUCACGUUCGUGUAUCCAAAGAUAUAAUUAAAUGUUCGUAAAAGUUCUUUAUAGGCAAUCAUUUAAUUUCCCAAGGUAAUAUUUCUAUAUAAAACCCAUAACCGUUGCAUAUAACUAUAAUUUUUACAAGCUUAGCCAUUGAAAAAUAAACAUUUUUUUUUAUUUUUUUAUUAUGUUGACAACAUAAUACAUAUUAUAUAAAUUGAAUAACAUGCUAAACGUUAUAAUAAAGUGGAAAGAAUAGGUAUUUGAUUUUUAGACUACACGUUUUUUAUUUUAGAAACCGGAAGAUUUAUGUGAAAAUUGUAAUAUGUAAGUAUUCUUAAGUCAAUAUUAUAUUUUGAUAGGUAAAAAUACUAUAUUUUUUUUUUUUUUUAAUAAACUGUUUAAACUUACACGUAUUUAUAUAUUUUAAACACAUCUAAUUAUCUAAAUGUUCAACUGCCAAGAACGUAUAAUAAUGAGUUAUAUUCGUUAAAUAAAGUUUUAAAAAUGUGCAUAUUCUUAAAGAAAAAACAAUACUGUUGCCAUAAUUUCUUACCUUUAUUAAUAAAUCAUACAGCAGAUCGCUGCAGUUUUCCAAACUCUAAAAGAACCAAAGUAUUCCUAAACUAUAAUUAUACAUUUAUAAAAUAUUAAGUAUUUUAUACAGCAAUUGAUACAACAAUAAAGUCUUAUGCUAAUCUAUAAAAAAUGUAGGUAUGUACCAUUAGAAAAAAUAUAUAUAUUUUUAAAAUCACUAUACAUUUUUUUCUUCUUUACUCUGUAUUAAUCUAAUAACCUAUGACCUUAUCCUUAUAAUUUAUAAGGUUAAUGUUAGAAUUACAAACUGAUAUUCUUAAUUCUAUAAUAAUUUUUCAAAUAUAAGUUCUUUGAACUACAGAUGCUAAAAGAAAUCUACGAACUUACCCCAAUUCUUCCUAGUAACAAAGCAUCCAUUUCACAUUCAGCGACUGGAUUUGUAGUAGUUGGUGCUGGCGCCGGUUCAUUGAUAAUAUUUUCUUCAGAAUGAACAGUUUUAUCGAUGGUACUCAUUGUAUUCUGCAAAAAAAAAAAUUACUAUCGUAUUAAAAAAAAAGUUUAAUUUAAUCAUUAUUUUUAUAAUAUAAAUAAUAAACAAUAAGUACAAAUUUUAAAUUCUGAAUAAUGCAUUUCUAAUUAUUUUUAAAAAGAACGACACAUACUUUGUACCAUGGAUAUAUAUGUCAUGUUAUAACUUGUGAAUUAGAAGUUGGGAAGUUAAGUUAUAAAGGUUAACUUAAUUUAUAUAUAAACUCAAAAAAUAAACCAUUUCUAUUGAAGACCGAUUCUGAGCAAAAUUUGAUUAAAAACGUUUAAGAAAAGAAAAUCAAUUCAUAACUAGAAAAUAAAUACAACUGUCCAUAUUUUUUUAUCCAAAAAAUUAAAAUUCUUAAAGAUUAGGAAAAUAGUUUGCGAAAUCCGUCGUUUAUACAAUUUUCAAUAAUUCAAUUCAAUUCAAUAAAAUUUGAACUACGGAAGCCUCUAAAAAAAAAUUUGUGACUACAUAAUACCAUUUUUCUAUGUACAAACGAGAUUUUAUGUACUACAAUAGUUAUUUUUGAUUAUUGUAAUAUUGUAUAAUAAUAAUAUAUAAAGUUGUGUUUUUAUUAAAACCCGAAAAAUUAAUUUUAAACUUAGUAUUUAUUUUGUGGUCCUUAUUCAAAUUUGCGCCAUUAUAAUAUGUAUACUCGUAAUAUAGGAAUACUGAAUUGUCAUUAUCAAAUUAAUUUGUUAUAUUUAAAGUGGUGUCAAGUGGACACAUAAUAAAGUACUAAAUAAAGGCACUAAUUCCGUUUACAAACAAACAUUAUUGUCACUAUUAUCACCAGUGGUCGUUGUUAAAUGUUAUACUGUUAUUUAUUGACAUGUUUGUUUUAGAAAACGAAUGGCAACAAACUGCAAAUCGGUUAUCGUGUCUGGACCUUAAAUCAACAACUUAUGUGGUUAUAAGAGCCUUGCCCUCCUUCCCUUCGAUGGACAAAUCACCGUGGAUUGGUCAAUUGCAAUAAAUAAUUAAUAAGGUACC